UUACGGUCACAUCACGUUGAAACACCGGUUUCCGUAUGAUCACUGAACGUAAGCAACGUCGGGCCUGAUCAGUACCUAGAUGAGGGACUGCUUGGGAAUACCAGGGGCUGUAAG